GAUCAGCUUAGAUCUGUAGGACAGGAUGGACACUAGAAUAGACGGAUAUCAAAGUGUCUCCUCUCUGAUGUCUCUGGAAGACUCGGCAUGGCAUGGUGGGUGUCCAUGGGUGUGGAUGACAGCAUCUCUCUCAACUCUCUCAAGAACAAAGGAGCUUGAGUCUGCAUGAACGAGCAGCUAAUGUGGAUGUUGUGUAUAUCCAGAUGAAGAACGGGCCGAGUUUGAAAUCCUGAGGUAUCUACAAGCUCCAAGAUAUCACAGGAGUUCGUCUGACGUCUGCCUGAUCUUCCUGAAUCAUCUGUUCACAUCCAGCAUAGCUGUCUCAGACAAUAACCAAAAUGUCUGCGUGCGUGUUUGCAUGCGUUUCUUACUAGCAUGUUUUUAUUACAUGUCAGCACUACGCUACUGGCUCCAGACUAACACCCCAUUGUCUGUGCAACUAUUGUUUGUUUACUAGGCCAAGAGAAGGACAAAGACGGGAACAGUUGCUGGCCUACACUUCUGGGAGCUGGCGUCGUGUGGCAUCCCUAAACGGGAGGGAGUGGGCUCAUUGUUUUGGGGGUCUUAAAAGGGAAGUCCCAUUACUCUGGAGAUUUGGCAAAUGCUUGGGACAUGUACUACAGAUCAUCCGAGCUUACAUCGGAUCCUUUUCAAAUUGAAAAUACAUUAUAAUCAAGGCCUAAAAUUCACUAAAAUGUAGAGAAGUGUUGAAAAAAGACAAAUUACAACCUUCUUUUCAUCUCCCACUGCCCAGCUUUGAAAGCACAUGCUCCCUCAUAAUGAAAGAAAAUGAGUGGGGCCGAUUAUCACUCUGAUAUGUGGGCCUUAAUGGGUGGACUUCAUUCCCAGAGGCCCAGUGGACCGACGCAUGAGACCAUGCAUUGCCUUUGAUUGACCUGCUAUCAAGCAUCGAGGUGCUGGGAAGCCGUGCUUGCCAGUUGCCCUCAUUGCUGAUAAGGUCAGAGGUGUGGAGGUCUCUCCGAGGGAACAGGAGUGGUGCAGAUCUCACAGUUGGUGGAAAACCAGAUUACACGGUGCCUUUGUUGCUACCAAGAUGGGAUUCAGAGAAAAGUUCUGGCAAAAGUAAAAAUCAUCAGCAUUUACUCACCCUUCAGUGUUGUUUCAUUUGUGAAAAACAAAAAGAAGGAUUUUUUUUUUUAUUGCUGAGCACCAAAAAGAGCAAAUAAAACACCAUAAAAGUAGUGUUAUACAGUCUAAAAAAUUCUGCUAAAACAAUGUCAGCUGUGGUUGCCAGAAAAAUUGUGGUAGCAACAUUUUAGGCUUAAUGAUUUGAACUUACCUUUACAGUAGGAAACAUUUCAAUAACUGACAUCGGUUUUGUUCUUUGGUCACACUUUAUUUUAAGGUUCAAUUCUGACUAUUAACUAACUAUAAACUACAACUUUUGUCUCAAUAAACUCUGCUUAUUAAUAGUUAGUAAGGUAAAGUAGUUGUAAAGUUAAGGAAUCUAAAAUAUGGUUGUGCAGAAUAAGGCAUUAAUACUGCAUGUGUUACAUAAGUACCAAUAUGGUAGUAAUAUGCAUGCUAAUAAACAACAAGCAGUGAGAAUUGGUCCCUAAAAUAAAGUGGCUUGCCUGUUCCUUUAUAACACUGAGAAUCACAAAAAAGAAAGAAAGAAAAAACACACAGGUGGUAAUGAUUCAAGCUACAUAGAUAAUAGAUAAAAACUCAUUAAAAUAAUGCCAGAAACAUUAAUUUAACAACAUAAGAUGUAACGUAAAACUCUAAUGUGCAUACAGUAACUGAU
ensembl:lncRNA